GAUAGGCUAAUUAAGAGCGUAUGGGGAAUGCCUAGGCUCUCAGAGGCGACGAAGGACGUGAUAAGCUGCGAAAAGCUGCGGGGAUCAGCACAUAUGAUUUGAUCCGCAGAUAUCCGAAUGGGGCAACCCACUAUAUGAAGAUAUAGUACCCGACUUGUCGGGGGCAAACC
rnacentral:rRNA from 1 species